AUUGACUAAGGUUUCCAGAGGAAGGCUCGUCCGCUCUGGGUUAGUCGGGUCCUAAGCUGAGGCCGACAGGCGUAGGCGAUGGAUAACAGGUUGAUAUUCCUGUACCACCUAUAAUCGUUUUAAUCGAUGGGGGGACGCAGUAGGAUAGGCGAAGCGUGCGAUUGGAUUGCACGUCUAAGCAGUAAGGCUGAGUAUUAGGCAAAUCCGGUACUCGUUAAGGCUGAGCUGUGAUGGGGAGAAGACAUUGUGUCUUCGAGUCGUUGAUUUCACACUGCCGAGAAAAGCCUCUAGAUAGAAAAUAGGUGCCCGUACCGCAAACCGACACAGGUAGUCAAGAUGAGAAUUCUAAGGUGAGCGAGCGAACUCUCGUUAAGGAACUCGGCAAAAUGACCCCGUAACUUCGGGAGAAGGGGUGCUCUUUAGGGUUAACGCCCA
rnacentral:rRNA from 1 species